AGCUCCAAUAGCGUAUAUUAAAGUUGUUGCAGUUAAAAAGCUCGUAGUCUGACCUUUGGCGGGUGGCCGAGUCGUCCGUGGCGCAAGUCACGCGCACGCGAAGCACCCUUGCCAUGUACUUCGGAGGAACACGUGUCCUUUUAAUUAAGCGCGCGUUUGUGAUUCCGAUAGUUUACUUUGAGAAAAAUAGAGUGUUCAAAGCAGGCAACUUCGCCUUGAAUACAUUAGCAUGGGAUAAUGAAAUAGGACAUUGGUUUUCCUAUUUUGAUGGUUUAAGGACCGAUGUAAUGAUUAAUAGGGACAGUUGGGGACAUUUAUAUUCCACGGCUAGAGGUGAAAUUCUUGGAUUCGUGGAAGAUAAACUACUGCGAAAGCAUUUGUCAAAGAUGUUUUCAUUGAU
rnacentral:rRNA from 1 species